rnacentral:rRNA from 1 species
UAACAAGGAUUCCCCUAGUAACGGCGAGUGAAGCGGGAUGAGCUCAAAUUUGAAAUCUGGCGGCCCAAGGCCGUCCGAGUUGUAAUCUAGAGAAGCGUUUUCCGCGCCGGACCGUGUACAAGUCCCUUGGAACAGGGCGUCAUAGAGGGUGAGAAUCCCGUCCGUGACACGGACCCCCGGCGCACUGCGAUACGCUUUCGAAGAGUCGAGUUGUUUGGGAAUGCAGCUCAAAACGGGUGGUAAAUUCCAUCUAAAGCUAAAUACAGGCGAGAGACCGAUAGCGAACAAGUACCGUGAGGGAAAGAUGAAAAGAACUUUGGAAAGAGAGUUAAACAGUACGUGAAAUUGUUGAAAGGGAAACGCUUGAAGUCAGUCGCGUCCGCCGGGACUCAGCCUUGCUUUUGCUGGGUGCACUUCUCGGCGGACGGGCCAGCAUCGAUUUCGGUCGCCGGAAAAGGACGGGAGGAAUGUGGCAGCUUUUGGCUGUGUUAUAGACUCUCGUCGCACACGGUGGCCGGGAUCGAGGACUGCAGCGCGUCUCGGGGUUCGCCCACGUUAACGCGCUUAGGAUGCUGGCGUAAUGGCUUUAAGCGACCCGUCUUGAA